rnacentral:lncRNA from 1 species
UUCUUUCUAAGAACCACAUGUUAAAAGCCUACCAUUAAUCACACAAAAAUCUUAACUCAAAAAUACUAUCUCUUAACAAUCACUUUUACACAUAUAUUACUUAAAUAUUGCUAAGAAAUAUUUCUAAGAUACUACCAAUAAUCAUGCUCUACCAUCUUUCUUCUCCGGUUAACUUACUCUUGGUAUCCUGCUCUGUAGGUGUUAUCCGAAUUAGAAGAGAAAGCCGAAUUUAUCCAAGAAGAAAGAGGUACGAUCCAAUUCUGUGCUUCUGGAGCCAUAUGUUUUCCUCUCCCAAAGAAAUCUUUUAUCUGUACCGGUAAUUUAUUUGCAUCUUUAUGGAGACAUGGACCUAUGAGGCAAUCUGUUUUCGUUCCCAGGGGAGUAUGCGAGGAUGGUUGAAGCAUAUUGUGAUAAGGAGGAGAAGGCCAUGAUGGAUAAGGAGGCUGCCAAUAAUUGUUGUUGUAGAAACGACCUCCACGACCUCGAUAUCCGCGACCGCCACGGCCACGACCACGA